GGCCGGUCAGCCGAUCCGCUGUUUUUAACAGUCAACUCUCAGUGUCCCGAACUAGACAGUAUAAAGUACUGAAAAAUAUCUAGAUAUGGGGAUUCAUCUGGCCGUAAUGGUGUGUUACAAUGGUUGCGAUGCGACUAAUCUGAGGACACCGAAAACGCUGCUGACUCACCGAAGCCUUCUCAAGCGACCAGACCAGCCUUCUUCCCUUUGAAAGAACCGUGGAUUUGAUGUUGAAGUGUGAUGGCACUUCUCAUGAAUGAGACAUGAGAUGAGAUGUGACAAUGAGACACAAAACAGAAGGCGAUAAUAUUUCAUAAAUGCCAAUUUGUGCCA